UACGUAGGGUGCAAGCGUUAAUCCGAAUUACUGGGCGUAAAGCGUGCGCAGGCGGUUUUGUAAGUCUGUCGUGAAAGCCCCGGGCUCAACCUGGGAAUUGCGAUGGAGACUGCAAGGCUUGAAUCUGGCAGAGGGGGGUAGAAUUCCACGUGUAGCAGUGAAAUGCGUAGAGAUGUGGAGGAACACCGAUGGCGAAGGCAGCCCCCUGGGUCAAGAUUGACGCUCAUGCACGAAAGCGUGGGGAGCAAACAGG
rnacentral:rRNA from 1 species